CAAGAUUCUUUCUGACUCAUUUCCAAUAGCCCCACAAAGGACAAAGCAAAUAGCAAUGAGUAACCACAGCUAAGUGAUGCUCUCAUCAAGGAUUCUACCCACGUCUUCCCAAAAGAAUGGAACAGGGGGAGGAAGUGAAAGUUGCUCAAGACACAGGACAGAAACAAAAAACAGGGAUGAUCAUGUGGCCUAAGGUUACUGAUCAGGGACAGAAACUCCAUGCACAAGUACUGUGUUAAGCACUAAAAUAGUCCUUAAAGGGGCAAAGCGGGUUUUCUGCCCUUAAAGGAAUUUGGAAUAGACAUGUAGCGACAGUGAGAGAUCAAUGUACACAGUCCCCACAGAGGUAGAGAAGCGGUGGGAGAAGUAACACAAGAUUGAGACUAACUCAAAGCGCGGGAAAGAAUUCUUGUGAAGGCUCCUGUGAAGUCAAGGCAAAGCAAAUUCAUGGUUCUUUUAAAAACUCAAAUCUUAAAAUAAAAUGAAAACUCAGAUCUUA